rnacentral:lncRNA from 1 species
GAAAUGCUGAGGCUUAAAUUAAAAUAUUGUUUGUUUGCCCUUUACCGACCGACCCUUUAAAUUCGUUCCGCCUGAAAAUCUUUUAUUUGUAUUUAUCAGCAAGAUUUUAUUUUAUUUUAUUUUUUCGUUCCUACCAAAAAUCUUUUAUUUGUAUUUUCCGCUCAAAACUUUUUUACCGGAAUCCUCGGGUUUUAUCUUUAUCGUGAAAGGUCUAGUCCGUUUGGUAUCACGUGAGUGUUUGACAUGAACACUUGCAUUUAGAGUAUCAAAGCAUUUGUUUGAAAUCGAUGUUGAACCACAGGGGCUUGUUACAAUUGCCGGGUUUACUAUCCAUACGAACCCCUAAAAAAACACAAGGGAGGAAGCUAAUUUGCGAUGCUUCAAAUUAUUGUUGUAAAUUUUUUCUUAGACUUUCACUUACUUUGUGACCUGAAUAAAUAUGUUCCCACUUGAAUUAUCUCUCCAAUGACAUAUAUUUGUUACCUU